AUAAAUAUUCAGAAAGCACUGAAAUAUAAAUCUUACUUAUGUAUACAUUAUCCAAAUUCUAGCCAAAUAUGAAACUAUAGCGGCUCUAAUUUCAACAACACAGAACUGCAUUAUCCGAAUUCUAGCCAUAGCAAAGUUUCUUAAUUUUGGACGAGCUUCAUAAACACCAAUUACGGUUUAUAUUUCAAAAAACUAGAGAAAUUGAAUUUCAGUCACUAAUAUGCAAUUCUUGAAGAAAACAAGAGAAGUUUCAAAAGAGACUAUGUGAAUCUGCAAAAGAGAAAAAAAAUUGCUAACAAUUUAGAACACGUCCCAAUUAAGAUUUACGAUUUAGAGAAUCGGGAUGUCAACAAAAUCAAGAAAAAAUACAGAAAAUUCAGAGAUUCAAUCAAAAUAGAAUAUCCAAAAGUGAGAACAAGACACAAAUAAGAGGCAAGCAAAACCUUCUAGUUUAGCUGCUUCUCAAUCGUAUUUUAAAAGGGGUUUUUUAACCCUAAACUCGAAACUGAAAUUUACCAUUAGAAAAGUGGAAACAAGAUGGAGAAUUCCAAGUAUAAUUUUCAAAAUCUUACCCAGAAAAAUAUUCGGCGGCUGCGAGAGAGACGUGUGAAGGAUGAAAUUUGUUUUAGGU
rnacentral:lncRNA from 1 species